rnacentral:lncRNA from 1 species
UUUAAAUCAAUUCUAUGGAUCCAAAAACCAAUUGUUUAAGUUGCUUUCUUAGUUAAUGUGAUUAAUUAAGAAAAUGGUGAUUAUGAACCAAAGGCCUCUAUAAUUGAGCUAUGUGAUUGGCCGCUUUACAUUAUGAAUGUUUGGGUUUGGUAGUGUAGAUAUUGAAUGUAAUUUGAUUAAUUCAAUUUGUUGUAAAUGGACAUAAGUCCAUCAUUUGUGUUGUAAAAGGGCAUAAGCCCUUCUUAUUAUUUCAUGUAUUCCUUUUUGUUUAUUUGUAUGCAAAAUGGAAUAGUUGGGUCCAACGCCCAAUAGGAAAUAACGGUUUAAUUGGAUUAAACGCGUAACUAAAAUCAACAACUAUCUACCUUAAACCCAAGGUCCAACACAAGGCUCGUGUUGGAUCAAAUUAAACGGUUCAUAAUCAUCCUAAAACCUAAUAUGACUAUAUAGUCCAUAUGAGGAUGCAAUGCGUUCGUUAGUAGUUCCAUAUAGUCUCGCUUGUUUCAACGAAACAGUGAGAGUAUUAUAUGCUACUAAUUCAUAUUAACUUGGACCAAUGGUUAUGAUAGGCCCAAGUUCUUUUAAUAUGAUUAAAAUGAUUUUGAUGUAGCCCAAAACUACUCCCUUGACAAACGAAUAUUAAGUUGAUAAGUGAGAGAUGUUUUGAACAUCUCUUCGUAGGCCUUCCACCGUGGUGGGCUCCAAUCGUUUGUGACUCAUGCA